CCUACGGGUGGCUGCAGUGGGGAAUAUUGGACAAUGGGCGAAAGCCUGAUCCAGCCAUGCCGCGUGUGUGAAGAAGGCCUUCGGGUUGUAAAGCACUUUCAGUGGGGAAGAAAGCCUUGGGGCUAAUACCCUCGAGGAAGGACAUCACCCACAGAAGAAGCACCGGCUAACUCCGUGCCAGCAGCCGCGGUAAUACGGAGGGUGCGAGCGUUAAUCGGAAUUACUGGGCGUAAAGCGCGCGUAGGCGGUCUGAUAAGCCGGUUGUGAAAGCCCCGGGCUCAACCUGGGAACGGCAUCCGGAACUGUCAGGCUAGAGUGCAGGAGAGGAAGGUAGAAUUCCCGGUGUGGCGGUGAAAUGCGUAGAGAUCGGGAGGAAUACCAGUGGCGAAGGCGGCCUUCUGGACUGACACUGACGCUGAGGUGCGAAAGCGUGGGUAGCAAACAGGAUUAGAUACCCGAGUAGUC
rnacentral:rRNA from 1 species